GUAGGGGGUAGGCUGGCGUGGCUCUAGUUCCAGGGGUAUGGAGCCUCUGGCUCGGGGACAGACUGUCAGGUGCUUGCGGAGCCGAAUCUUAUUCUAAGAACUCAGGCACUCAGGUAUCCACCAUGGUGUUGGGUCCUGAACAGAAGAGGCCAGAUGAAGAUGCUUCUGGAGACCACGGGGACUCUGCCAGUCUUGCGGCCAUCAACCCUGCCUACAGUAACUCCUCUCUUCCACAGUCCCCCGGGGGGCACUCAGAGGAGCCUUUCACCACCUACUUUGAUGAGAAGAUCGCCAUUCCUGAGGAGGAGUACUCUUGUUUUAGCUUUCGUAAACUCUGGGCUUUCACGGGACCGGGAUUUCUUAUGAGCAUCGCCUACCUGGAUCCAGGAAACAUUGAAUCUGAUUUGCAGUCUGGAGCAGUGGCUGGAUUUAAGUUGCUCUGGGUUCUUCUGAUGGCCACCAUCGUGGGACUCCUGCUCCAGCGCCUUGCAGCUAGACUGGGCGUGGUCACUGGACUGCAUCUUGCUGAAGUGUGUCACCGUCAGUAUCCCAGGGUUCCACGAAUUAUCCUGUGGCUGAUGGUGGAGUUGGCUAUCGUUGGCUCAGAUAUGCAAGAAGUUAUUGGCUCCGCUAUUGCCAUCAAUCUCCUCUCUGUAGGAAGGGUCCCACUGUGGGGUGGAGUUCUUAUCACCAUUGCAGAUACCUUUGUAUUUCUCUUUUUGGACAAAUAUGGCUUGCGGAAGCUAGAAGCAUUUUUUGGUUUUCUCAUCACUGUUAUGGCCCUCACAUUUGGAUAUGAGUAUGUUACAGUGAAACCCAGCCAGACCCAGGUCCUCAAAGGCAUGUUCCUGCCAUCCUGUUCAGGCUGUCAAACCUCACAGAUCGAGCAGGCCGUGGGCAUCGUGGGUGCUGUUAUCAUGCCACACAACAUGUACCUGCAUUCUGCUUUAGUCAAGUCCAGACAGGUAGACCGAGCCAAUAAGGAGGAAGUUCGGGAAGCCAAUAAGUACUUUUUCAUUGAGUCCUGCAUUGCUCUUUUUGUUUCCUUUAUCAUCAACGUCUUUGUCGUCUCAGUCUUUGCUGAAGCAUUUUUUGAGAAAACCAACGAGCAGGUGGUUGAAGUCUGUAGAAAUAGCAGCAGUCCCCAUACUCAUCUUUUUCCUGACGAUAACUCAACACUGGCUGUGGACAUCUACAAAGGGGGUGUUGUGCUGGGGUGUUACUUCGGGCCUGCUGCACUCUACAUCUGGGCCGUGGGGAUCCUGGCUGCAGGACAGAGCUCCACCAUGACAGGAACCUACUCUGGCCAGUUUGUCAUGGAGGGAUUCCUGAACCUAAAGUGGUCACGCUUUGCCCGCGUGAUUCUGACCCGCUCUAUUGCCAUCAUCCCCACUCUGCUUGUUGCUGUCUUCCAAGAUGUAGAGCAUCUGACAGGGAUGAAUGACUUCCUGAAUGUUCUUCAGAGCUUACAACUUCCCUUUGCUCUCAUACCCAUCCUCACGUUUACGAGCUUGCGGCCAGUAAUGAAUGAAUUUGCCAAUGGAAUAGGCUGGAGGAUUGCAGGCGGUAUCUUGGUCCUUAUCGUCUGUUCCAUCAACAUGUACUUUGUCGUGGUUUAUGUCCAGGAACUAGGGCAUGUGGCAUUGUAUGUGGUGGCUGCUGUGAUCAGCAUAGCUUAUCUGAGCUUUGUGUUUUACUUGGGUUGGCAAUGUUUGAUUGCACUGGGCAUGUCCUUCCUGGACUGUGGGCACACGUACCCACGUCUGGGAUUGACAGUUCAGCCUGAACUCUACCUUCUGAACACCGUGGAUGCUGACUCACUUGUGUCUAGAUGACUGACAGCCUGAGAGAUUCUAUAAGACCCACUUUCUCUUAGUCCUUUUGUGCCAAGUGUCCUGUUAACAUAUCUCUGUUAGUUCAGUGCAUGUGGGAUCUUAGCUCCCCAACCAGGGAUUGAACCCUCGCCCCCUGCAGUGGAAGUGUGGAGUCUUAACCUCUGGAUCGCCAGGGAAAUCCCAAUAUAUUCAAUCUUAAGAUUAACCUAGAUGCAUAUACUCACUCAGUUGCUGGGGUUUAACACUGUGGAGUCAAUUUUUAAAAGGAUGCUCUGACAGUGUAUACCCAGAAUGUUAGAAAAAUGCAAUUAAAUAAUUGUUACUGAGCAGCUGCUGCUACCUACCUGUGUGUUGGCUUAAUAUAAAAGGCAGUGAGAGCAUAUCCAGGCACAUGAAAUAGUUUAAUUCGUCAGUGAGGCAGAGGUUACAGCAGAAGAUGAAAAUAGCCUUCUCAGUUUUAAACAUUAUGAUAUUAAGCCACCAAACCUUUGCCCCAGAAGUAUUGUGCAAAUUCAGGUACUGUAUUUUAUCUAUUUAUAAGGUCCUCCCGCAACGGCCUCCCAUCUUUACCCAGGCUAAUGUGGGUAAAUGGGCAUCCUGCAUACUUAACUUUUCUCCAUACAAGAUUUUACAUUUUAAUUUAAAGAUAAUUUGUGAGCUCUCAGGCAUAAUACUCUUUUUUUUUUUUUUUUUUGAUGUUGGGGGUAGGAGUUUAUUAAUUAAUUUAUUUUUGCUGUGUUGGGUCUUCGUUUCUGUGCCAGGGCUUUCUCCAGUUGUGGCAAGCGGGGGCCACUCUUCAUCGCGGUGUG